CCCCUCUCUGGUUCUCCCUCACCAGAAGCAACUCAAAAUCUAUCAACUUUUCCGCUGAGCGGAUCUCGCCGAAAUCCCUGUCCUUACAAUUGCCGGUGCAUUCUCCGGCCAAUUGGUGACGGGACUAUCUUCGAUCUCCUGUGUAAAAAAGAAAAAUAUCGUUUGUUCUCAAACCUUCAAAUAUCUUAUGCAUUUUUAUUCCAUUAACAGUCGAUCAAAUUAAAAUUCCCCUCUAUCUCUUGGUUCUAAUUUAGGGCCUGCGUUUCAUUAUCGCAUUUUCUAUUUUCUUGGUAAUGCAUUUGGUUCUUAGUGAAAUGAAGAAAAAUAGAACCAAAUAUUUUGGGCUUUUAUUGCUCUUUUUGUUUUCAUUGUGAUUGCAUGGGGCUUGGUUCAGUGAGUUUUUAAUCAUCUGGUGCUUGAAAACACCAAAGAUUUAAAAUAUAAUUUUACAGUUUUCUCCUUGCUACGAAACAGUGGUUUAGUGACCCUUGCUGAUUUUCCCCCCCUUUUGGCAGGUAAGCUUGAGGUGGGCUAUUAGUUUCUGCUCAAAUUGCUGUUUUUGCUUAAACCAGGACUUGAAGAAAUUUGUAGAACUGUUUGGUUUCAAGCUAGAAGUAUCAAUAGCUCACUGCAAAUAAAAGAAAAAGAAACUAGAAAUGGUAUGUUUCUUGUAUCUGUUACCAAAUUUGAACUUCAAGUUAAGAUUUUGUGUUGUGCUUUUAGAACCUGUAUGCUAAUAUUGAAUGUGAAAUUGAGAAGUUAAGAGCUAAGGAAUUUGUUAGCCCUUAUUGGUUUAGCUGUUUGACUUUGCACAAGCUGUGCUCUUAUUUCGUAAUAGCCUGUUAAUUUUGUUAUGAAAUGCUUGGGUUCCUUUAAGUGGGUGUGGGAAUCAUGGGUUGUAUAAUGAUUGCUGAGAUUGUUUCAUUAUUAUAAUCUUGAUCAGUCCUAUCAUAAAAUAUGCAUUUAAUAUUCAUUUGGCUUGAUGCCACUUAUGAAAUCUUUGAUUUGCUUUCCUUGUACUCUCCAAGAUCUUGCAUACAUCUGAUCAUUUGAAUAUUUUUCUAGCACAUAAUGUGUCAUUAGUUUGAUGGAUGUAACUUUUAUCAGUUAACACUUUUGCAGAAUUUUGGUUUUGCAGUCGAAACUAUUAAUCUAAAAUUCAUGAAGUCUGAUCGUAGACAAAUGGAUUGUAGCAUUUCAUCAGCAUACAAAUCCCUUUAAUAACUUAAGAGAAAUUCUUGGAAUUGGAUACUUUCAAACAUCAUUUGAAGUUUACAUUGUGGCUUUUUAGCUUGACUACUUUCUCCUUCUUUGGCAUUAAAAGAACAGCAUAAUUAUUUGGUGUAGAUUGGUUCCAGUAAUUCUUGUCAAAUUGUGCACUAAUAAGAAGUUGUUGGAUGUUGUAAUUCUGCAUGGCUCACUUAAUGGAGGGAACUAAAGAUACAGAAGAGGGAUAGUGAUUAAAGACGUAAAGUUUAAUGGGCUUUUUUAUUUUGCACAUAUCUUGGUUACUAUUAAGAAGUUAAACCUAUUGAUUAAAAUGUUUCAUUUUUGGUUACAUACUUGGCAAGGACUGAGGAUAUUAUUCUGCUCUUAUUGUUCUUUUAUGGAUGUGAUAAGGGACUUCUUUCUUUAUUUUCAUACUUUGUUUGGUAGUCUUUCCAGAAUCAAGGUUUUUGGAUGGCAAAAAGUGCCGAGUCAAUAAAUGAUGGUGAGAUUAAUUAUGAUUCAUCUAGAAUUGAGAUGAAGCGUUCUCAUCAGUGGUUUAUGGAUGGUUCUGAGGUAGAACUAUUUUCCAACAAGAAACAAGCAGUAGGAGUUCCAACCAACAACUUAUUUACAGGAAUGAUAAAUUCAAAUGUUUCUCAAUGGGGAAAUGCUUCUAGUUUUCAGUCAAUGUCUGGCCAUUUUUCUGAACGGUUAUUUGAUUCUGAUAUAGCAAGGACUGCUAAUUUUGAUGACAGAAACAUUUCAUUGGUUAGCUCAGAAAAGUUUACUAUGGGGAGGAAGGUCAAUGAGGAUCCAUUUGGGAAUGAUUCCUCAUUUAAUUUAUCUAUGUCUCACACGCUGGAAGAUCCUAGAUCAAGUUUAAGUUGUAGUGGGAUUAGAAAAGUGAAAGUUAGCGAGGUCAAGGAAUCUGAGAAUAUCAUGCAUUUACCAAUGGAACAUGACUACAGUAGGGUGGAUAGCGAUAAUAUGUCAACUUCUAAUGCUUAUGAUAAGGGUGAAAAUACCAUAUCAAUGGAUCUUGCUUAUAACAAAGGGGGCGGCCACAUCAUGCCUGUGGGUGAAACCUAUGACAGGGAGAGUAACAUUUUCAUUUCAAUGGGACAACCCUAUAGCAAGGGAGAUGACAACAUAACGAUGAGUCAAACAUACAAAGAUAAUAAUAAUACCAUGGCAAUGGGUCACACAUUUAGUAAGGGUGACAACAAUAUCAUAUCUAUGGGUCAAACCUUCACGCCAGAUGAAAACACCAUGUCAAUGGGGCACCUUUUCAGCAAAGGCAAUGACAGUACUGUUUUAAUGGGUCAUACAUACAACAAACGCAACAACAAAAAUUUGUCAGUUGGUCAGUCUUUUAAUAAAAGAGAGAGUACUAUGAUAUCCUUUGGUGGCUAUGAUGACGACGAUACAAGUCCCUCAGGACAGCUCAUAUCCAAUUAUGACUUUUUGAUGGCUCAUUCUUCUCUUCAGAAUUCAGAAGUAAUAAAUGAGAAAGAUGUAGUCAAUUCACAUGUGGAUGCACAUGCAUCUGCUGUCCAUACAACUGCCUCUGGAACUGAAAAUACUUCUAAGAAGAAAGAGGACCUAAAAGCAUCUAAGAAGGCGCCUUCAAAUAACUUCCCUUCAAAUGUUAGAAGUUUACUGUCCACUGGAAUGCUGGAUGGAGUUGCUGUAAAGUAUAUAGCAUGGUCACAGGAGAAGGAGCUUUGUGGUGUUAUAAAAGGUUCUGGAUAUUUAUGUGGCUGUCAGACAUGCAAUUUCUCUAAGGUAAUUAAUGCCUAUGAAUUUGAGCGACAUGCUAAUUGUAAAACAAAACACCCCAAUAAUCACAUAUAUUUUGAGAAUGGGAAGACCAUCUAUGGCAUUGUCCAAGAGCUAAGAAGCACUCCUCAGAGUAUGCUUUUUGAAGUUAUUCAGACAAUAACUGGAUCACCUAUCAACCAGAAGUCCUUUCAUCUUUGGAAAGGUGAUGCAAAGUAUAUCUUUCAAUUAUGUUGCUCUAAAUUUUAAAUUAUCCGUUCUUCUUCCAUUGUUUUUCCUCUGAUUUUUUGGUCAUCUCGUGUAUGCUCUUCUGUCUCCUUUACAGAAUCAUUUCUAGCUGCGACCCGUGAACUUCAACGAAUUUAUGGAAAAGAUGAAGGGAAACCGUUAUAAAAAAAAAGAAGCCUUGUUCAAGUUGUAAGGUAGGACCAUUUUUGUGUUGUGCAUACAAGUGAUCUUUUUGGCUACACCUUGUAUUGGUUAAGGUGGCGGUGCUACUAACUUGAGAUCAUUGGGUGUUUGCAAAAUUGGAGACCAAUGAGCAAAGGAAACUUUUAAUCUUGUCACUGGAUUUAUUAAAGCAGCACAUAGCCCAGAUGCUGAAGGGCAAAUGAAAUUCAAAAAUAUGUGCUACUUGUUAACGGAAGGAAUCUUUUUUGUAACUUUCCUGUGGUGAUUUCCUUCUUGGUAUUCUUUAUCACCAUAACAGGUUUCUCCUUUUUUGAAUGAGUAGAUUACAUUUUACAGAAUGUCAAACUGCCAUAUUUGUCUGGAUUGCUCUAUUCAACUCCAAUCUUGUGAGAAUUAAAUUUUGUUUCAAUUUAGACAUAAAUAGUGUUUUGAUCCAGCAAAAGUUAGGAUCCCCAACGUUUCAUAAUCUGAAUUUUUUUCGUUGAAAAUCAC
rnacentral:misc_RNA from 1 species